rnacentral:tRNA from 1 species
GGGGUUGUGGCUCAGCGAUAGAGUGCCCACCUCGCACUUGUGAGACCCUGGGUUUGAACCUCAGCACCACA